rnacentral:rRNA from 1 species
UACGAAGGGGGCUAGCGUUGUUCGGAAUUACUGGGCGUAAAGAGCGCGCAGGCGGUCGUUUAAGUCGAAUGUGAAAGCCCCCGGCUCAACUGGGGAGGGUCACGCGAUACUGAUCGACUCGAAGGCAGGAGAGGGUAGUGGAAUUCCCGGUGUAGUGGUGAAAUGCGCAGAUAUCAGGAGGAACACCGGUGGCGAAGGCGGGUCUCUGGGCCGAUACUGACGCUGAGGAGCGAAAGCGUGGGGAGCGAACAGG